rnacentral:rRNA from 1 species
ACAUGCAGUCGAGCGGACAGAUGGGAGCUUGCUCCCUGAUGUUAGCGGCGGACGGGUGAGUAACACGUGGGUAACCUGCCUGUAAGACUGGGAUAACUCCGGGAAACCGGGGCUAAUACCGGAUGGUUGUUUGAACCGCAUGGUUCAAACAUAAAAGGUGGCUUCGGCUACCACUUACAGAUGGACCCGCGGCGCAUUAGCUAGUUGGUGAGGUAAUGGCUCACCAAGGCAACGAUGCGUAGCCGACCUGAGAGGGUGAUCGGCCACACUGGGACUGAGACACGGCCCAGACUCCUACGGGAGGCAGCAGUAGGGAAUCUUCCGCAAUGGACGAAAGUCUGACGGAGCAACGCCGCGUGAGUGAUGAAGGUUUUCGGAUCGUAAAGCUCUGUUGUUAGGGAAGAACAAGUACCGUUCGAAUAGGGCGGUACCUUGGAGGGUACCUAACCAGAAAGGCCACGGCUAACUACGUGCCAGCAGCCGCGGUAAUACGUAGGUGGCAAGCGUUGUCCGGAUUAUUGGGCGUAAAGGCUCGCAGCCGGUUCCUUAGUCCGGAGUGGAAACCCCCCGGCCCCCGGCUCAACCGGGGAGGGUCAUUGGAAACUGGGGAACUUGAGUGCAGAAGAGGAGAGUGGAAUUCCACGUGUAGCGGUGAAAUGCGUAGAGAUGUGGAGGAACACCAGUGGCGAAGCGACUCUCUGGUCUGUAACUGACGCUGAGGAGCGAAGCGUGGGGGAGCGAACAGGAUUAGAUACCCUGGUAGUCCACGCCGUAAACGAUGAGUGCUAAGUGUUAGGGGUUUCCGCCCCUUAGUGCUGCAGCUAACGCAUUAAGCACUCCGCCUGGGGAGUACGGUCGCAAGACUGAAACUCAAAGGAAUUGACGGGGGCCCGCACAAGCGGUGAGCAUGUGGUUUAAUUCGAAGCAACGCGAAGAACUUACCAGGUCUUGACAUCCUCUGACAUCCUAGAGAUAGGACGUCCCCUUCGG